rnacentral:rRNA from 1 species
UGAAUAAGGAGCUUGCUCCUUUGAAGUAUAGCGGCGGACGGGUGAGUAACACGUGGGUAACCUACCUAUAAGACUGGAAUAACUUCGGGAAACCGGAGCUAAUGCCGGAUAACAUUUGGAACCGCAUGGUUCUAAAGUAAAAGAUGGUUUUGCUAUCACUUAUAGAUGGACCCGCGCCGUAUUAGCUAGUUGGUAAGGUAACGGCUUACCAAGGCAACGAUACGUAGCCGACCUGAGAGGGUGAUCGGCCACACUGGAACUGAGACACGGUCCAGACUCCUACGGGAGGCAGCAGUAGGGAAUCUUCCGCAAUGGACGAAAGUCUGACGGAGCAACGCCGCGUGAGUGAUGAAGGUUUUCGGAUCGUAAAACUCUGUUAUUAGGGAAGAACAAAUGUGUAAGUAACUGUGCACAUCUUGACGGUACCUAAUCAGAAAGCCACGGCUAACUACGUGCCAGCAGCCGCGGUAAUACGUAGGUGGCAAGCGUUAUCCGGAAUUAUUGGGCGUAAAGCGCGCGUAGGCGGUUUCUUAAGUCUGAUGUGAAAGCCCACGGCUCAACCGUGGAGGGUCAUUGGAAACUGGGAAACUUGAGUACAGAAGAGGAAAGUGGAAUUCCAUGUGUAGCGGUGAAAUGCGCAGAGAUAUGGAGGAACACCAGUGGCGAAGGCGACUUUCUGGUCUGUAACUGACGCUGAUGUGC